GACAGAGGGUGCAAACGUUGUUCGGAAUUACUGGGCGUAAAGCGCGUGUAGGCGGCCCUGCAAGUCGGGUGUGAAAUCCCACGGCUCAACCGUGGAAGCGCACUCGAAACUGCAGGGCUAGAGUCCUGGAGAGGAAGGUGGAAUGCUUGGUGUAGAGGUGAAAUUCGUAGAUAUCAAGCGGAACACCGGUGGCGAAGGCGGCCUUCUGGACAGUGACUGACGCUGAGACGCGAAAGCGUGGGGAGCAAACAGG
rnacentral:rRNA from 1 species